GGGGGGGGGGGGGGCGGGCAGGCGGUUUCUUAUGUCUGAUGUGAAAGCCCACCCCUCUGCCGUGGAGGGUCAUUGGAAACUGGGGAACUUGAGUGCAGAAGAGAAAAGCGGAAUUCCACGUGUAGCGGUGAAAUGCGUAGAGAUGUGGAGGAACACCAGUGGCGAAGGCGGCUUUUUGGUCUGUAACUGACGCUGAGGCGCGAAAGCGUGGGGAGCAAACAGGAUUAGAUACCCUGGUAGUCCACGCCGUAAACGAUGAGUGCUAAGUGUUAGAGGGUUUCCGCCCUUUAGUGCUGCAACUAACGCAUUAAGCACUCCGCCUGGGGAGUACGGUCGCAAGACUGAAA
rnacentral:rRNA from 1 species